rnacentral:tRNA from 1 species
GCCUUCGUAGGGUAGUGGCCAGCACGCUGGACGUGCCACCGAAAGAUCCGUGGUUCGAUUCCCGGCGAAGGCG